UCUGAACUUCAUAGGCUAUCCCCUGAUGCUGUUCCCCUCUGAUGCUUUAUCAGCUCCCUGGGUAUUGUUAGCUUCUGUGGAAUAUGGUGGUGGCUAUCUGAUGUUUUCACCUGCUUGACAUGUUUCCCUUUCUUCCAGCCACUGCACUUUAAUUUCUCUUUGGGAAACCACUCCUCCCACCCCAUCCCACCCCACCCCUGGAAUAGAUGGAGUUAAUAAGUGAUUGACUAGCUCCUGACCCAAGAUUUAAGCCAAUCCUAAGCAAUGAAAGUCAGCCCCUGGGAUUCCUCUAUGGGAAUUCUGUCUGCUGAGCUUCAGCUUGGUGCACUGUAGACUCUCCUUAGUGGAUUAUCCUACAGAGAAAGAAUCUGACUGAGAAUGAAGCCAGCCCAGUAAGCAGCCGAGCCAUGAGAGAGCCCCAAAGACAUCAAGUCCUUCUGAGCAACAGAGUUCAGCCAUGCCUAAAGCUAGAUCCACAAUUUCAUGAGCCAUUAAGUUCUCCUCAACUGUCAGCCUAUUUAAAUUGGAGUCUAUCAUCGGAGUGAAAAAAAGUCCUGAUAUACCACAACUGGGGCAGCCAACAACCUCUGCCCUUCCCAGUCCAACGCUCUCUCUCUUCUUUUCCACACAGAUACUAUUACUAAGCCCUCAAGAAGAGCAGUAGCCAGGAAGUGGCUGUCUUGAAGGAGUUCCCACUUUCUUACCUGCCAUGCUGACUGCCUGCUGGGAAUAGGGUAAAGAAAAGUCAAAGUGAGGGUGAACAUGAACUAGCACCUCAAGGUGUCAAACUCCCACACAGAUCUCUUUCUCUGUCCUGCUUUCUUGCCUUCCUUUCCUAUCCAUUUGCUCUUCCUCCCCAGUAGUCUUGUUUCCAAGCCAAUUUAACACAUAAAUCACUUACGUUGUGCCCAAUACUGUUUGGAAUCAGAAAACAUCACCUCAGCCCUUGGAAAGCUCAGGUGUAAUGAAAGAGAAUUUGGAGCCGGGACAGCGUCAGUGAGGGAGCCUGGGGCCAGAGGACAAAGGGCAGAAAAAGUCAACACUUUGAAUUUGAAGCAGGUGAUGAUGCCAUUGAAUGAGUCCCUUCAGGGAAGAGGAGGGGCUGGCAUGGAUAAUGGGGAGAUGAGAGUCAAGUCAGAUGAGAGACCGCUAGGCUCAGGAUUCUGAAGAAAGAGACUUGAGGGUCCAUUACAUUAUAGAACGUUUUUGUUAAAUAAUGCCUGAGAGGUGAUCUGACACAGGUAAAUCCUUUUAUUUCUUUUAGGUAAAAUUAAAUCCAACCGUACACCUCAAUUUCACAGUUUAGUAAACGAAAGAACGAAGCCAGUAGUUCCCACAACAGGCAGGGGCCAUGCAUGUCCCCAAGAUCCUUCAGGGCCUGCCAACCAGAAGAAUGGGCUCUUACCUGUCUCAUUAAUUCUGCUUACUCAUGAGAUUUUUAAAAACAAAAAUCGAAAUAAGUUUGAAAACCCAAGGAUUAGUUUCCUUCCCAUGCAAGUACUAAUAUUUCUUCCUUCUUUUGAGCCCCAUCUGCCCCGCACCCCCCACCUCCCCAAAACGUGGAUCUAAAUUCUCUCUUCUGGUUCCCUACCCCUCACUGUACCCCAAGACUCAGAACCCAGAUCUCUGCUUUUUUCCCCACAGUCUCCUUUGCUGCCUUUAGGACAUCACCUCUCGUUUCUGAGCCAAAGACACCCAGAUGUGUCAGUUCAGCCUGACGUCUAUCUUGUGCAGGACCUUUCUGCCUGGAUGCUCCGCCCACAGCUCCUCCAUGAGAAGGAACGAGAAGAAAUCAGAGUGACCCCGCUCAGCAGAAAAAUCAUCCUGGUGGAAAACCACCAGUAGUGGCAGCCACUGGAUGGCUGGAAAUACUGCCAUCAUUAUUACCUUCUUUUUGCUUGACGGGACCUCUUUUAAUGUAAUGAACCCCAGCUGAUUUUAUAAAAAUAACAAUAAUUUUAAGCCAAAUAUGGUAAAAUAGAAACAAAAAUUACCUGGAACAUUUCAGUGUUGAAAUGCUUCCCCCCCCCCCCAACCUGUUUUGCUUAUCCAGGAAUGUGUUCAUAAAAUUUUGGAAUUGGGAAAAAUUGAGUAUUACAAGUUACCCGUUCACAUUUGAAAAGUUUUUGUGCAUAAGAUGAAACACCUUUUAUAAUUUAUUUAAGCAAUCCACUCUUGUUAGAUUUUGAGUUGUUUCCAACUGAACUCCUAUUGUUGGACAUUUUGGUUGCUUCCAACUUGGCCCCGACAAACCAACACAGAGCCAGAAUAACUGGUUGAAAAUAAAUUACAAUAAAGGAGAGGGGAGAAAGGAGGAAAAUGACUGGAGAAAUCCUGGAAAGAUGGGCCAAAUUGCUUAAAGAAAUAAAAGUUUUUAAAAAUGCCCUUUUGUGCACAAAAUUUGCCAACAUUUGUAAGGCAAAAGAAAAAAACACAAAACCAACAGUGAUUAGAGAUUAUUCAUUUUCUUUUUUAAUGUUUAUUUUUGAGAGAGAGACAGACAGAGAGAGAGGGAGACACAAAAUCCAAAGCAGCUCCAGGCUCUGAGUUGUCAGCACAGAGCCUGAUGUGGGGCUCGAACUCAAGAACGGAGAGAUCACGACCUGAGCCGAAGUCAGAUGCUCAACCAACUGAGCCCCCCCAGGCGCCCCAUAGAUUAUUCAUUUUCAAGCAAAUUAUUAUUAUUUUUAGAGAAUGGCUCCACUAAGUUAUUUUAAACAAAGUCACGUGCAUGUCCUCCGCUGGACCAAUGCUUAUGUAGCCAAUUAGGUUGUUCGUGAUCGUCCAGUGUUAUAAACUGCAAGAGGGUUUAUAUUAACGUUUGCGAGAUUGCCUUCUAAAACCCAGUGCUUUUCUCCCAGAUCUGGUGGUGGUCCGGAUCUGUUCCUGACUGGUCCACCGACAAUGCAACAUCUCACUGGGUCUCAUUCCCAGCCCCUUCUCCUCUGCGUUGCUCAGCACCCCCGCGGUGGCCUGUGCUAAAGGGGCAGGAACAGUAGCUGUCUGGGCUCUGACAUCCAAAGCUUGUCUGGUACCUGUGAGAAAUGGAAAGCCACUCUAAAAAUAAGUUGUUUCCUCCUGCUCCCAAUCCCUCCUCAAAACAGUAAGAGGAUGUUUCAGAGUUUUCAAAUGGAAAUGGUCACAGCAGCCAGAGGCCAUGGUCUUGACUUUGACAAGCCUUAACCUGUCUUCCUCUAGUCCUCUGAAACAGGACCGAGUUCAGAACGAGAAAUUAAAAGAAGACCCGCCACAUAGAUUUGUCCAUAAUGCCACUCUUAGAGUCCCAUUUCCAAGGGAGACAAAUUCACUUCUGGCACCUGAAGUUGCUUAUCUGGUUCCUCAGAGCUGCAACAUUGAAUUCGCUCCCAGGUAUGAAUCAAACCAUCAAAUAUUCUUUAUAUCUGCUGCCAGGAACAAAGGUGAAAACCAGCUCAGGUGAGUGCCUCACAAUAUACUCUAUGCUUCAAGAAAACUACAGCCUGUCUUACCUCUUCACUAGACAGCGUAUUAUUUUUCUUUUAUAUAUGUAUGCUUUGUCGGAACCAUCUGAAAGUUUCAGACACAGUGACACUCACCCCUAAAUACUUCGGCAACCAUCUACCACAAGGGACAUCCGCCAAUACCACAACAGAAUUAUCACACGGAGGAAAGCUAACAUUAAUUUAAUAACAUCUGGUGUGCAGUCCAUAUUCAAAUACCACAAGAGUCUUAUAAAAUUUAUUUUUUAUCACUUAAAAACAUUUCAUCCUAUAGCUGUGGUUCAUCACUGCCUUUGGUUGUUAUGUCUCUUGCAGCCUCAAGAAAUUCUAACUUAGAAUAGUCCCUCUAGCUUUUGGUUUUGUCUUGUUUGUCUGUUUUACAUUACUUGAUUAAAAAAUUUUUUUUAACGUUUAUUAAUUAUUGAGAGAGAGCAAGGGUGAGUAGGGGAGGGACAGAGAGAGGGAGACAGAGGAUCCGAAGCAGGCUCCAUACUGUGAGCACAGAGCCCAAUGUGGGCUUCGAACUCAUGACCGUGAAACCAUGACCUGAGCCGAAAUCAGGAGUCAGCCAUUUAACUGACUCAGCCACCCAGGCGCCCAUUACUUGAUUUCUUUUUCAUUCACACCAAUUGUCUUGUAGAAUCUCCCACAUCCUAGAUUUGUCUGGCUCUUCCCUGGUGACUAGAUUCAGGUGAGACAUUUUGGGCUAGACAUCUGUCCGAGUGAUGGAGGCUGUACUUUCUGCAUUGUAUCAGAAGGCAGGCAACAUUCGGCUGUCCCAAUGCUAAGUUUGUUCACUCUGUGGCCAACUUCUUCUUAAAACAUAAAAUUAAACCACACAUGAACAAAUCUAUAUUUUCUAAUUGCCUCUCUGCGAUGAAAGCCCAGUGUAUCUUACAAAGCAAUCUUCCUGCACAACUUUUAAAAAAUUCAGCCCUAAGUCACAAGGCUUCUCCUUUCCUGUGAAGCGGGUGUUUGAAAAGCCUGUGAACUCAUACUGGUUAUCUUUCACAGAAUCUGGAAUUUCUCUUACCAAGACCAAAACCAAAUCAAGCAAAAGCAGCACCUUGCAAACCGAAAAACCCAGUCUUCACAGGGUAUGAGUUUUCAAGCCGAGGUUCCAAAGUGAGACAGAUUGCUCAGGACAGGAGGCAGUGGGGUGGCAAAUGUGGCCUCUGUCCUUGGUCUAGAGGGUCACCGGCCACCUCGCCCAGGCUCCCGUCACUCACAUGAUGGGAAUCCUGCAUGCGCUGCCUGGGCAAGCCCAACCGGGAGACCCAGAGCUGGAUGCUGCUUCUGUUUUGGAAAUCAAUUCAGGGGCACCUGGGUGGUUCAGUCGGUUAAGCGUCGACUCUUGAUUUCGGUGCAGGUCACGAUCUCACAGUUCGUGGGCUUGAGCACCGCGUCGGGCACUCUGCUGUCAGCGCAGAGCCUGCUUCAGAUAUUGUCCCCGCCUCUUUCUGCCCCUUCCCCACUCAUGUGCACUCUCCAAAAUAAAUAAACAUGAAAGAAAGAAAGAAGAAAGAAAGAAAGAAAGAAAGAAAGAAAGAAAGAAAGAAAGAAAGAAAGAAAGAUCAGUUCAACAGACUUCACUCCUGCCUGCUGAGAAACAAGGUAACUUCUAGAUCCAGAAUAGUCUGUGGACUUGCACCGAGCUGUUAUCUUUGUAUUAAGAAGACCUGGAGGGAGCGAGAGGAAAAGGAGAUUAUUUUCAAUGCACUCUGAAAUGGCUAGAAUCCUUGUUGAAAUUUUAGACUUACAGAACCAUUUUCAGGAAGAGACGUAAUUUGUCUGCAUCAGUCUGAGUGAGUGUGUCUUAUGAUUUUGAAUCUGAUCAGAGCUUUUGAUGAUCGACUAUGCAGGGGAGAUGGUUCCUGUUUGGGGAGAAAUCCCCAGACUUCCAGCAUCGUUUCCUAAAUGCAGACCUAGUUCUGUCAAACUUGAUGGAUAUUUCAGUCCCCACAGCUUCUUAUUGCUGCUUUUCAUUUUGCGGAGAUGCUCAGCUGAUAAGAAAAUGGGCUGAACAUUCAAUCGAUAAUAGUGACAUAAAUAGUCUCUGGUUGUAUAAAUAAAGCUGCUUUUACCUGAGCGAUGUUUUCAACCUCUGGCAGCAGCAACUUUAGCAAAUGCCCGUUUGGGAAAUACCCCCAAUAAAUAUUAAAUUUGAAAAGAGUUUUGUGAACCGAAGACUCCCCGCAUGAAAUCACAGAAGGCAGAUCUUAUUUAAAAUCGGUUUUCAGCUGCCGUUUCUGGUUGCAAGGUAAUGAAUUGUCCUACUAAUUGAACUUGAAGUUCACCUUUCAAUUAUGAAGCAAAUUGCAGAACCCAAGGACAGGCAGGUAAAAGUGAAAUGAUGAGCAGUCAUGUUGAAACUAAGACACCCUUUGUUCCAUCAUCUGUGGGCACAAGAGCUUUCUAUCCUUUGGAAAUGCCCCUGGCAGUGUCUGAGAGCGUAGAAAUCUCAGAGCAUCUCAGGGGUGUGCCUAGGGAGAGAGAGAAUACAAGAGAGGGAGAGAGAGAGUCUUCUUUCACUGCAUUUCCCUUUAUUUUCUUUUAUUACAUGAGAAAACGGUCUUCAUGUGACAGCAUAAAUUAAAGACGCUUGAGUUUGCUCCCUUCGGUGUUGACUCUGAGGGAAGCUGAACAGAGUGGUGGUAAAUAACUAUAUAAUUGAAAUCGCCUUGCUUUGUUGUUACCUUAGAAGGGGACUGUUGUGUAGAGGCUUCAGAUUUAUUGAGAUAGAUUACACCCCUGGGUGUAAAUCACUUUGUAAAAGUAAAUCAGGCAGUUUCCAUAAUUCCCUUAGGCCUCUGGGGUACAGUUUAAUACACUAAGCCAUAAUUUACUAUUAAGGGGGACCCUUGGGGUGACUUUUUCCUGGGGAAUCAUCUUCUCCCUGGGAGACCCGCUUAUGAUGCUACUAUAAAGAAGCCUCCCUGUCUUCUCUCUGCCCUGGCCAUCUCAUGUCAUAUGUCCAAAUGGGGAACGUUCCGACUCCCGGUUUGGAAGGCAGAAAGUUGGGUCUUAUGUUUCUGGCACAAGGAGACAUUAUUGCCUGGAACACGAGGAGAUACCACAUGAAGGAUGCCAUCUCUCUCAGCCCUGGAUCCAGGAGGAUUUGCCCCCCUUCCAUCAGCUGGGCUUUAUUUGGAAAGGCCAGCCUGGGACCUUGGCACUCCGUUUCAUUAUGAGGUUUUGAAUAGCAGACACUGUUUCCUUAAAAGAUGACAAGAAUUCCACAAACAAUGGCAGUCGGUGGAACCUAAUAUGCAAGAGAGGAUUUGGGUGGUUCAAGGUGAAAUUAAAUCAUCUGUGUAGAUUCCCACAUCCCCAUCCUCGAAGCCGGUUGGAGAUGAUCUGAUCUCCCAACACUGCAGGGCUCAAGGCUGCCUGCGGCAAUUCCUGUGCCUUUUUAGCUCCAUCCAAAAUAAACCUCGCUCAAAACC